rnacentral:rRNA from 1 species
ACGGGUGAGUAACGCGUAGGUGACCUACCCCUCGAGAGGGGGAUAACUGGGGGAAACCUCAGCUAAUACCCCAUACGUUCCUACCUAUAAGCAGGUAGGAAGAAAGGGAGCAAUAGCUCUGCUGAGGGAGGGGCCUGCGACCCAUCAGGUAGUUGGUGAGGUAACGGCUCACCAAGCCUACGACGGGUAGCCGGUCUGAGAGGAUGGCCGGCCACAAGGGCACUGAGACACGGGCCCUACUCCUACGGGAGGCAGCAGUGGGGGAUUUUGGACAAUGGGCGAAAGCCUGAUCCAGCGACGCCGCGUGCGGGACGAAGCCCUUCGGGGUGUAAACCGCUGUGGUGGGAGACGAAUAAGGUGAGGAGUGGAAAGCCUCACUGAUGACGGUAUCCCACUAGAAAGCCCCGGCUAACUACGUGCCAGCAGCCGCGGUAAUACGUAGGGGGCGAGCGUUACCCGGAUUUACUGGGCGUAAAGGGGGCGUAGGCGGCCGUGAAAGUCCGGUGUGAAAACUCACGGCUCAACCGUGGGACUGCGCUGGAAACUACACGGCUUGAGGACGGUAGAGGGAGACGGAACUGCUGGUGUAGGGGUGAAAUCCGUAGAUAUCAGCAGGAACGCCGGUGGAGAAGUCGGUCUCCUGGGCCGUUCCUGACGCUGAGGCCCGAAAGCUAGGGGAGCAAACCGGAUUAGAUACCCGGGUAGUCCUAGCCGUAAACGAUGCCCACUAGGUGUGGGGGAGUAAUUCCUCCGUGCUGAAGCUAACGCGAUAAGUGGGCCGCCUGGGGAGUAUGCCCGCAAGGGUGAAACUCAAAGGAAUUGACGGGACCCCGCACAAGCGGUGGAGCGUGUGGUUUAAUUGGACGCUAAGCCAAGAACCUUACCAGGGCUCGACAUGCUGGUGGUACUGACCCGAAAGGGGAGGGACCUGUGGCGUUAGUCACGGGAGCCAGCACAGGUGGUGCACGGUCGUCGUCAGCUCGUGCCGUGAGGUGUUGGGUUAAGUCCCGCAACGAGCGCAACCCCUGCCCUUAGUUGCCAGCGGUUCGGCCGGGCACUCUAAGGGGACUGCCGGCGACGAGCCGGAGGAAGGAGGGGAUGACGUCAGAUACUCGUGCCCCUUAUGCCCAGGGCGACACACGUGCUACAAUGGCCGGUACAGCGGGAAGCGAAGCCGGAGACCUGGAGCGGAUCUCUGAAAGCCGGUCCCAGUUCGGAUUGU